rnacentral:rRNA from 1 species
UUAAGAUAGUAAGAGCAUACGGUGGAUGCCUUGGCGAUAUCUGCCGAUGAAGGACGCGACAAGCUGCGAAAAGCUGCGGUGAGGUGCAAAUGACCUUUGACCCGCAGAUGUCCGAAUGGAGCAAUCCGGCUGUGGUUAUGCACAGUCACCCAUGCCUAUGAGUAUGGGAGGAAACCAGGCGAACUGAAACAUCUAAGUAGCCUGAGGAGAAGUAAUCAAACGAGAUACCCCUAGUAGCGGCGAGCGAACGGGGCAGAAGCCCAAACCGCAGAAGGAAACUUUUACGGGGUUGAGGGCCGUCAUACGAACGUGGAAUCCAGCUGAAGCUUCUGGGAAGGAGCGCCGCAGGAUGUGAAAGCCAUGUAAGCGAAAGAGGAAGCGGAACAGACGGUACCAGAGUACCGCGGGACACGAGAAACCCCGUGGGAAGCAGGGGGGACCACCCUCCAAGGCAAAACACAGAUAUCGACCGAUAGCGCAUAGUACCAUGAGGGAAAGGUGAAAAGCACCCCGGGAGGGGAAUGAAACAGAACCUGAAACCGUAUGUUUACAAGCAGUCGGAGACCGUAUAUAUAUCAGGUCGACGGCGUGCCUAUUGAAGAAUGAACCGGCGAGUUAUGAGGUCCAGCGAGGUUAAGCAGGAAAUGCGGAGCCGAAGCGAAAGCGAGUCUUAACAGGGCGAAUAGUUGGACUGCAUAGACCCGAAACCACAGUGAUCUACCCAUGUCCAGGUUGAAGCACAGGUAAAAAUGUGUGGAGGACCGAACCUAUAUCCGUUGAAAAGGGUUAGGAUGAGGUGUGGGUAGGGGUGAAAUUCCAAUCGAACGUGGAGAUAGCUGGUUCUCCCCGAAAUAGCUUUAGGGCUAGCCUCAGGGUAAAGAUUGCAGGCGGUAGAGCACUGAUCAGGAGAGGGACCUACCCGGUUACCAAACCCAGUCAAACUACGAAUGGCUGCAAUUAUACCUGGGAGUCAGACUACGACUUAUAAGGGCCGUGGUCAAAAGGGAAACAGCCCAGAUCAUCAGCUAAGGUCCCAAAUGCCGUGCUAAGUGGCGAAGGAUGUGGCGUUUCAUAAACAACCAGGAUGUUGGCUCAGAAGCAGCCACCAUUUAAAGAGUGCGUAAUAGCUCACUGGUCGAGAGACGCUGCGCCGAAAAUGUCCGGGGCUCAAGCACGGAACCGAAGCUAUGGCAUUGCGUAAGCAAUGGGUAGGGGAGCGUUCUUAUGGGGAAGAAGCAUUACCGUAAGGAGAUGUGGACACAUAAGAAGUGAGAAUGCCGGUAUGAGUAUCGAAAAGAAAGGUGAGAAUCCUUUCCACCGAAAGCCCGAGGGUUCCUGAGCAACGAUCGUCGUCUCAGGGUAAGUCGGGACCUAAGCCGAGGCACAGACGCAUAGGCGAUGGACAACAGGUUGAAAUUCCUGUACCGGAUGGAGUCAUUUGAGCAAUGGAGUGACGCAGGAGGGCACAUGAUCGCGCGACUGGAAGAGCGCGUCCAAGUGCGUAUGUUGAAUCGGAGGCAAAUCCCCGAUUCUGAAAGCAGAGACAUGAUGGGGAGUUAUAAGCGAUUAUGACGAACUCAUGGAUCCCACACUGCCAAGAAAAACUUCUAGCGAGACGAAAUCCGCCCGUACCGUAAACCGACACAGGUAGGCGGGGAGAGAAUCCUAAGGUGCGCGGGAAAACCCUCGUUAAGGAACUCGGCAAAUUGCAUCCGUAACUUCGGGAGAAGGAUGGCCCUGAGUAGGCGAAGUGCAGAAACGCACGGAACAGAAAAGGGUGGCAGAAAAGAGGCCCAAGCAACUGUUUACCAAAAACACAGGUGCCUGCGAAAGCGAAAGCUGAAGUAUAGGUGCUGACGCCUGCCCGGUGCUGGAAGGUUAAGGAGAGAGGUUAGCGCAAGCGAAGCUUUGAACUGAAGCCCCAGUGAACGGCGGCCGUAACUAUAACGGUCCUAAGGUAGCGAAAUUCCUUGUCGGGUAAGUUCCGACCCGCAUGAAAGGCGUAAUGAUUUGGGCGCUGUCUCAACGAGGGGCCCGGUGAAAUUGAAAUACCUGUGAAGAUGCAGGUUACCCGCGACUGGACAGAAAGACCCCAUGGAGCUUUACUGCAGCUUGAGAUUGAAUCCCGGUGGCAGACGCACAGGAUAGGUGGGAGGCUUUGAGAUAGUGACUUUGGUUGCUAUGGAGCCGACGUUGGGAUACCACCCUUCUGUUGCUGGGAUUCUAACGCGAAGAUUAACAACCUUGCGGACCAUCUCAGGUAGGCGGUUUGACUGGGGCGGUCGCCUCCGAAAGAGUAACGGAGGCG